AGUCUCCCUUUAAUGAUCGUUUAUUUUAGGCUUGUCAUGAUCUGAUUUAUCAUGGUUUAGAUCUGGAUAAAUACGAUCAUCAUCAGUUCCCAGGAGUAGUCCCUCGAUCAUUCAUUGGUCCUUUAGUUGUCUCUCUGGUAUCCAGUCCCUUCAUAGCUCUGCUCAAUUUAUUUAAACUUAAUAAAUUCUAUUCACAAUACAUAGUUCGAGGAGUUCUCGGAAUAUUUGUUAUAUCAGCGUUUGUGUCCUUUAAGAAUUCUAUCCAAAAAAGGUAUGGUCCUAAUAUUGGGACCUGGUUGUGUUUAUUAUCUAUUUCUCAGUUUCAUUUUCUCUUCUACGCAUCCCGUCCUCUUCCCAACAUAUUCGCUUUAG